AUUCUUUUAGUAUUAAUAAGUACAAC
rnacentral:tRNA from 1 species